UGAAAAAAGGUGAGCUGUAUAUGCAACGGAGGAAGAAAACUCGUUGCUGGAAGCCUGGAAAAAGUAUCGGGUGCUGCUAAACCGUGUGGACACUUCCGU
rnacentral:misc_RNA from 1 species